AGAGACGGCUAAACGAUCGCCGAUGACCCAGAGUCAUCGGAGGAAAGUCCGGGCUCCGUAGGACAAAGUGCCAGGUAACGCCUGGGAAGUGUGAACUUACGGCUAGUGCCACAGAAAGUAAACCGCCGAGUAUUCGGUAAGGGUGAAAAGGUGUGGUAAGAGCGCACCGCAAUCGCUGGUAACAGCAUUGGCAAGGUCAACCCCACUUGGAGCAAGACCAAAUAGAGAUCGAAAGACAUGGUCCGUGUCCGAUCUGGGUAGGUCGCAAGUAGUACGCCUAAUCGUGCUCGAGAUGAAUGAUCGUUCUUGGACAGAACCCGGCUUAUCGGCCGUCUCUUCCU
rnacentral:RNase_P_RNA from 1 species